rnacentral:rRNA from 1 species
GAAAGGCGGGCUAAUACCGAAUGAUAUCUUGAAAACUUAUGUUUUCAGGAUCAAAGGUGGCCUCUACAUGUAAGCUAUUGUUUGGGGAUGAGCCCGCGUACCAUUAGCUUGUUGGUAGGGUAAUGGCCUACCAAGGCUACGAUGGUUAGCUGGUCUGAGAGGAUGAUCAGCCACACUGGAACUGACACACGGUCCAGACUCCUACGGGAGGCAGCAGUGAGGAAUUUUGCGCAAUGGGGGAAACCCUGACGCAGCAACGCCGCGUGAGUGAUGAAGGCUUUCGGGUCGUAAAGCUCUGUCAAGUGGGAAGAACCCAUAUGGUGUUAAUAUCGCCAUAUGCUGACGGUACCACUGAAGGAAGCACCGGCUAACUCCGUGCCAGCAGCCGCGGUAAUACGGGGGGUGCGAGCGUUAUUCGGAAUUACUGGGCGUAAAGAGCGCGUAGGCGGUCUCUUAAGUCAGGUGUGAAAGCCCGGGGCUCAACCCCGGAAGUGCACUUGAAACUAAGAGACUUGAGUAUGGGAGAGGGAAGUGGAAUUCCUGGUGUAGCG